rnacentral:rRNA from 1 species
GCCUUGGGGGGGUGCUAAUACAUGCAGUCGAGCGGACAGAAGGGAGCUUGCUCCCGGAUGUUAGCGGCGGACGGGUGAGUAACACGUGGGUAACCUGCCUGUAAGACUGGGAUAACUCCGGGAAACCGGAGCUAAUACCGGAUAGUUCCUUGAACCGCAUGGUUCAAGGAUGAAAGACGGUUUCGGCUGUCACUUACAGAUGGACCCGCGGCGCAUUAGCUAGUUGGUGGGGUAAUGGCUCACCAAGGCGACGAUGCGUAGCCGACCUGAGAGGGUGAUCGGCCACACUGGGACUGAGACACGGCCCAGACUCCUACGGGAGGCAGCAGUAGGGAAUCUUCCGCAAUGGACGAAAGUCUGACGGAGCAACGCCGCGUGAGUGAUGAAGGUUUUCGGAUCGUAAAGCUCUGUUGUUAGGGAAGAACAAGUGCGAGAGUAACUGCUCGCACCUUGACGGUACCUAACCAGAAAGCCACGGCUAACUACGUGCCAGCAGCCGCGGUAAUACGUAGGUGGCAAGCGUUGUCCGGAAUUAUUGGGCGUAAAGGGCUCGCAGGCGGUUUCUUAAGUCUGAUGUGAAAGCCCCCGGCUCAACCGGGGAGGGUCAUUGGAAACUGGGAAACUUGAGUGCAGAAGAGGAGAGUGGAAUUCCACGUGUAGCGGUGAAAUGCGUAGAGAUGUGGAGGAACACCAGUGGCGAAGGCGACUCUCUGGUCUGUAACUGACGCUGAGGAGCGAAAGCGUGGGGAGCGAACAGGAUUAGAUACCCUGGUAGUCCACGCCGUAAACGAUGAGUGCUAAGUGUUAGGGGGUUUCCGCCCCUUAGUGCUGCAGCUAACGCAUUAAGCACUCCGCCUGGGGAGUACGGUCGCAAGACUGAAACUCAAAGGAAUUGACGGGGGCCCGCACAAGCGGUGGAGCAUGUGGUUUAAUUCGAAGCAACGCGAAGAACCUUACCAGGUCUUGACAUCCUCUGACAACCCUAGAGAUAGGGCUUUCCCUUCGGGGACAGAGUGACAGGUGGUGCAUGGUUGUCGUCAGCUCGUGUCCUGAAAUGUUGGGUUAAGUCCCGCAACGAGCGCAACCCUUGAUCUUAGUUGCCAGCAUUCAGUUGGGCACUCUUAAGGGGACUGCCGGGGAACAAACCGGAGGAAAGGUGGGGAAGAACGCCAAAUCUUCUUGCCCCCUUUGAACCGGGGGUUAACACGGGGUUCAAUGGGACAAAAAAAAAGGGGUGCAAGAACCGCAAGGUUUUAGCCCAUUCCCCUAAAAAUUGUUUCUAAUUUUGGGAAUCAAAGUUUGGAAUCUCACAUGCGGUGAAAAUGGGAAUCCCUAGUAAAUCCCGGAACAACAUUCCCCCCGGGAAUAAAUUCCCCGGCC